ensembl:lncRNA
AGGGCACCCGCAGGCACACUCGCGAGCGCGCUCACACAGAAGCCGUCAGGCACAAAGUCACCCCUGUCCAACACAGAAACGCGGCCAGAAACAAACACAGAAGCACCAGAAGCACAAAGGCAUCGUGACACACACAAAAAGUAAACACAAGCCGGCUUAGAGGCAUGCAGAGCGACACAGAGGCGGAUGUCUCUAUCUGGACAUUUGGCAAGACCGCAGGAGGUGACUUCAGCAGCUGCCGAUUUCCUCAGCACACUCACUGUCAAGUACUUUCGGUGCCCUCUUUGGGAAUUUGCAGGCAUCAAGACAGUUUUACCCUUUGGAUUUCAUUCGGAGAGGGGAAUUGCCUCUGGUAGGAUGCAUUUAGGAAGAGGCAGUGUUUGUUAUGCAGCAACGUCAUCUACCCAAACUGUGGAACUAAAAACCUCCUUCCUGUUUGUGAAGUAUCUGAGCCCUUGACUUGUGCUAAUGGGAUACACCGCAGUGUGAUACAAGGAGCAUGGGCUUUGGAGACAGAGGAAGUAAUCUGGUUUGCAAUCAUGACUGUCCUUGACCAGCUGUGUGCUUCAGGCAACAUGCUUUAGGCUUCUGGGCCUCAGAGGGCUUAUGUGUAAAAUGAGGAUAAAAUGUCUUGGAUGGUUAUGGAAGAAAUAAAUGGAAUACAUAAAAAACUAGAUUUGAAAAGGAAGUUAGAGAACCAAGAGACAUGACAACAAACAAAUCAGCAUAACUUGGAUUGGCUGGGGGGUCGGGGGAUGAGUCAAGAGAGUUGUGGAGGCCAUUAAGCAGGGUGCAAGGAAAGCAGCGGACUAAGUGUGGCUGUAGGACAGGAAGGGGUGAUGAAUUCAGAUAUGACCACAUUGAAUUUGAGGUUUUGGUGUGACAUCAAAAUGGAAGCUAAAAACAUCAUAAUGAUUAGGAGUUGAGAAAUUGAAAUGAUGUAUCUGUGGGUGGUCAUGAUCAUGGUGGAAGCAUUCCCUGAAUAGCAGUACUCUCUGAGGAUGUUUUGGAUUGCUAAAUGAAAUAAUGCAUUUAAGGAACUUAGCAUCUUGUUUCAAAAAAAAGUAUUUAUUGUUAUUUCCGUCAUCAUCAUUAUCAUCAUCUUGGAUUUCCUGGGACAACCCCAAUUUCUGGAAAUUAAACUAGAUUCUUCAAGGGCAGUCCUUCAAAUGAAUAAAUAAAUUCAUCUAAGAGGGAAAAAAUUCUUUGUCUGCAUCAACCUACAAACACUGGUAACAUUUGGGGUGGAUUUGGAGGGAUGUCCAAAUGUUGGAUUCCCUGGCAGCUGCCUCUGAGAUGAAGAUUUGUAGGCAAGUGAUUGAGGAAGGAAAGCUCCCAAAAGAAAAUAGUCAGGAGUGGGAGAAGCAGCUCAGAGAGGGGAAGAAGCAAAGGCAAAGACCCAGUGUAGUCUUAUCCUGGAAGCAGCUCUGGAGCCUACUGUUUGGUUCUAAGUCCUUCUUUCUCCAAGUCUUGGUUAUAAAGCUCUAAACAAGUUACUUAAUCUUUCUGUGUCACACUUUCCUUGUCUGUAAAUUGGUGCUGUUGAUAUUAUCUCACAACCUCAUGAGGUUGUUAUGAAGAUCAAAUGAGCUAAGGUCUAUAAAGUGGUAAGAACUGACGUGGCACAUAGUUGGUGCUGAAUUAAUUAUUGAUAUUAAACCCAUGGAAGCUCUGUUGACUAUGGCACUGAGGAAACCUUCCACAGGGGAGAGAUAGUGCAUACAACUUCUUGUAUUGAAGAACCCGUAAGUGCAAACUGCCCAGUGCCAGAGCUUAAGAAAGGGAAUUACAAAACAUUUUUUAGGGCUUGGAGGAAAGAAGAAGUAGAAUAGUUGUGGAGAUCACGCGGCAUCUGCCUCAGAAGAGGAGGUCAAGGAGCAGGGCGGAAGGGGAAACAAUGGGAGUUGAUAAAACAGAUGAUGGCUGAAGGACAGAGGAAGGAAAGGAAACAGGGUGGCCUCUCUCCGAAGCAGUGCCUUCUUCUGGGAGGCACAGAGGGAGAGAUCUCACUGGGUCAAGGAGAGAAGGUCAAGGUGCCCCAGCUAAGUUUAAUCGCUAUGAGGUGGUGGAACGUGCCCUGGGCCUGGGGAAGGGAGAGUCUUGUCCUGGCCUUCUCACCUACUGUGUGACUGCCUCUCUCUGGGACUCAGUCUCCUCUCUUGUAAAGUGAUAAAGUCAAAUCAAGUGAUCUUUAAAAUCUGUGCUUGGCACCUCAUAGUUAAUUGGUGGUGGUUAAGGGGGUCUGAAAAACAAAAAGCAUGUUUUUUUGUUUAUCAUGCUUAUAUUAUAUACGAGAAGCUGGGCUUGGCCACUUACGUAUUCCCUUCUUCUGUACAACUUUACAAAAUAGACACAGUUAUUCCUAUUUUACAGAUAAAACACUGAAGUGAUCAGGCAGCUUGCCUUGGGUUACACUGUAGGUAACAGGAAGAGAAGGAACCUAGCUCUGUCUAAACAAAAGUCUCACUCUGCACCACUAACAGGAUUCAGAUGCAACAGUCCAGGCUCAAUCGAGCCUGCAUGCUCAGGCUGCUGAAAAGGAAAUUCCCUGGUUUUGAGGGUCUCACAGCUGAGUUUUACCAGACUACUGGAGCAAAGAGGCAGCAGUUUCCUAUCACUUAUGGGAAAAAUGCCAAAUGACCAAGAUGUAGGGCCAACUACCCUGGUCACAAUUUCUAAAAAGAGAGGGAGGAUGUUAGGGCUUGGAAGUCACUGACUGUGAGCCUCCAGGCUUUGCUUGUGCCCCUUCCUCCAUUCACAACACUUCUUUCCUUAUUUCCUCAUCUCCUGCACAAAUCCCCACUCCCAACACACACACACACACAGACACACACACACACACAGACACACACACACACAGACACAACUUAAGCUUCUUAAAGUUAUAACAUAUAAAGAAAUGAACAAGGAGGCAGGGUCCUUACCUGUAAGAAACACACAGGCUAGUAGUAGAGAUUAGCACAUAAACUUGACUUCCAUGUAAUAGAGUAAAUACUACGAUUGAGCUAGGAACUUGAGUUUCUUAGUUCCUUAAAUGUCAGGUGUGUAUGUAAAGAUAUUGUUUCAGGCCAGGUGCAGUGGCUCAUGCCUGUAAUCUCAGUACUUUGGGAGGCUGAGGAGUGCAGAUCACGAGUUCAGGGGAUCAAUACCAUCCUGGCCAACAUGGUGAAACCCCAUCUCUACUAAAAAUACCAAAAAAAUUAGCAGGGCUUGGUGGCACGUGCCUGUAGUCCCAGCUACUCAGGAGGCUGAGGCAGGAGAAUUGCUUAAACCCAGGAGGCAGAGGUUGCAGUGAGCCAAGAUCGCACCACUGCACUCCAGCCUGGAGACAGACUCAGACUCCGUCUCAAAAAAAAAAAAAAAAAAAAAA